UCCGGCCUCAUCUACGAGGAGACCCGCGGCGUCCUCAAGAUCUUCCUUGAGAACGUCAUCCGCGACGCCGUCACCUACACCGAGCACGCCCGCCGCAAGACCGUCACCGCCAUGGAUGUCGUCUACGCGCUCAAGCGCCAGGGCCGCACCCUCUACGGCUUCGGAGGCUAGAUCCGUUGCGUAGUGGAGCAACUUCCUCGUUUGCUCUCUGUGAUCUGUGCUGUGGUGGAUGAGAUUUACUGAUUUUGUGUGCGUCGUUGUGUUCUGCCUUGGGUUCAGUAGGCUGUGUAAUACCAUGUUCUGUUCAAUGCAAUCAGUUCGGUUCUGAAUCCUGACGAAAUGCUUCACUGUUGAAUUGCGUUUUGUUUUUUCUAAUACUGAUUGGCUCUAUCUGUUUGGACACUGCAGCUGCACUGACUUAAGUACUUGACACUCAUUUCUUCCCAGAUUAGAUUGUACUGCUACUGAAUCCGGCUUUCGUUUGUUCAGUUAUUUGGCGCUAAUUGUUUCUCACUGAAAAGUUCUCUGUUUAGAUCGCUUAUCUGUACUGAAUCAACAUUCGUCUAUCUGGCACUCGUUGCAAUCUGUAGAAGAGAUGGAAUUCUUCCGCUCAGGCAAGUACAGGGUCCGGUGUUUUGGUUUGGCAUCACUGCGGAAUGAACCUCGAAUGUUUCUGUUGUUUUCAGUGGUAUGAAUACUCAAAAAUUUGGCUUCUGUUCCUGAAGGUCUUCACCAAACACAUUUCUUUGUCCUAACUGUACUGUUCCUUUGAGAAAUAAACAGUAGAGAUUAUAUCCUUUUCUUAAAAAUUUUGCUCCUCAUCAGUGCAACCAAUUCAUAGGUGUUGUUUCUCAGUUCCUUUUGAGAUAUUGUGUGGCAUUAUUGUUCAUUCUCUAGGGUAGGAAUUGUGUGACUCAGUUCCUUAAUCUUCAUUAAUCAAGCUAAAAGAAAGAAGAUCCUCACUGAUGUGAUAUCGCCAGGGCCACCUAUGAUUACUGAUCAGGACUGUUAUGACUCAAGAAUAAGCUAUCUUGAAGGUCCAAGAUACGAAGAAGCUCUUCCCGGGGAGUGGGAAUACACUCGUUUAUUUGUUCUCGAAGAACAUUGACUGCCACCACACCUUUCUCACUUCUUUUUUUUACAACGAGCCUCCUAGCCAUUAAAAAAACCAGACAAGGCCAAUUCUAGUUUACUACAUACUCCCUCCGUUUUUAAAAAUCUUGUCUUAGAUUUAUCUAGAUAUGAAUGUAUCUAGUCAUAUUUUAGUAUUUUGAUACAUCCAUUCCUAGACAAAUUUAAAACAAAUUUUUUGUGACGGAGGGAGUAUAAAAUAUGCACAUGUUAAUAACUUAAUAUUACGAAGGGCAAAAGAUAAGUAAUACUUUGGGUCUAUUAACCCCUUUUAUUUUGGGUUCAAAUUUGACCGUAAAAUUAACUUGGAAAAUACUCCCUACAUUUUUAAAUGUAAGCUUUUUAAAUAUUUAACUAGGAAACUACAUACGGAUAUAUAUAAACAUAUUUUAGAGUGUAUAUUCAUUCAUUUUGCUCCGUAUUUAGCCCCUUAGUGAAAUCUUAUACUCCCUCCGUCCCAAAAUUCUUGUCUUACAUUUGUUUAGAUGUAAUUGUAUGUAGUCAAGUUUUAGUAUUUUGAUACAUUCAUUUUUAGACAAAGCUAAGACAAGAAUAUGUCACAAAAAGUGUAUUAUGGGAAGACUCCAUUAAAUACGAAUCCAACAAUAUGUUUUUAUAUCAUAUACGUAGUUUAUAUUUAAAAAAAAAACCUGAUAGCUGAAACAAACUCCCACUAAUCAUAUUCGGCGCCACGUCAUCGAUCCAGUCCACCACCGUCCCGCCCAUCCCACCCUUCUGAUCUGAAUCCAACGUCCCAUCCCCACCCUCUCACGGAUCGACCCAGCAAAACCUCCCGCCCGAAGCCCCCCAAAAGUUCGCGCUUCCCUCCAAAAUCCUUCCCAUAUAAACCAGCCCCCACCCUGAAAUCCCCAAUCCCACCACAAGCUACAGCCCCCAAAGGAGUUCCUCUUCUUCCUAAUCACACACUCUCUCGGAGCGGAGCGGAGCGAAGCGGCGAUGUCAGGGCGCGGCAAGGGCGGCAAGGGGCUGGGCAAGGGCGGCGCCAAGCGCCACCGGAAGGUCCUCCGCGACAACAUCCAGGGCAUCACCAAGCCGGCGAUCCGGAGGCUUGCCAGGAGGGGCGGCGUCAAGCGCAUCUCCGGCCUCAUCUACGAGGAGACCCGCGGCGUCCUCAAGAUCUUCCUCGAGAACGUCAUCCGCGACGCCGUCACCUACACCGAGCACGCUCGCCGCAAGACCGUCACCGCCAUGGACGUCGUCUACGCGCUCAAGCGCCAGGGCCGCACCCUCUACGGCUUCGGAGGCUAGAUUCUUGCCGUGCUGUGCUGUUGGCAGCUGUAUGCCCUGUGUGAUAUGCGCCCUGGUGGAUGGGAUUUACUUCUCUGUCGUUCGUUUGUGCUCAGUACGCUGUAGUAACAGUAUAUGCGUUCAAUGAAACUACUCCGAUCCUGAAUUCUGAUGAAACUCUUCAGUUAUGAAUCGUGUUACCGUUUUUCCAAGACUUUCUGAUUUGAUCUGUGCAGCUAGAAUUUUACACAGUUGCAAUCUGAUCAGUCUUUUCUUUUGUCACGCAUUGCAAUCUGGACCAGUGCUUCUGCUAUAGUUGCCAUGUUUUAAUUUGGGUUAAGUGGGAAUGAAUCCUUUUCUUUUCUGCAGUAUUGUGGGUAAAAUCCCUUUCUUCCGCUGUAGUAGUACACAAGGAUCAGGAUUCGGCAUCUAAAGAUGCUGAGAUGGUGGAGUGCUGCAAAUAUUUCUGAAUGAAACCAAUGAAGCAUCUAUCAGUUGAAAUGGUACAUGCUACAUUUAUAAGUCUGUAGAAUGCGGAACAACUAUCUGACGCUCUGCACUAAGCAGAAUUUUUCUUCUUAGUAAUAUUCUCAUUCCUCAGAGGAUUAUACUGCAGAGAUUAUCUUCUUUUCCUAAUAACCUUGUUCCUAAAAGGGAGCCAACUCACAAGAUGGUUUCCAUUUUUCUUUCUUCGAAAUUGCAAGUUGCUGUCACUAAUUCUCUAGAGCAGUAAAUGCUUACCGGUGUAUGUUUUGCCAAAUUCCCAAGCAUCGGCCACAGCACUAAAAUUGGUCACUGAUCAGGCUGCGCGGUCGCUUGAGGCCUGUUCGAAAGCAACCUACCCUAUGUGAUAAUUUCGGCCAACAAUCUCACAUCUGUUUAUAUGUUCUUUCAACAGGCUAUUACCAGUGGAUUUAUUACCUGACCACGUGAAUUUUUGUUGCUCUGAAACAGUGGUGUAGCUGGCUCGGUGAACGAGGGUGGUACAAUAAUAAAAAUUUCAUUUAAUUUCAUGCAUUGUUAAAAAAUAUAUAUCUUUUUUUUACCCUACAUAUUGGCUAUGAUGGAAUUUCAGGAUGGUCCAUGGACCACCCUGUCCACCCCCUAGCUACGCCACUGCUGUGAAACAGCGGUUCAUUCUGUACAUCUACUCUCUCUUUGUUGAGCUUGAUGUGCCAUCGGCGUGAGUGGGUUGUACCCUGGAUGUUUUGGUUUUCGCUCGGUUUUCUGUAAUUAACCGAGCAACUCUUUUCUUGUUAAUUAAUGAAAAGGCAAAGCUUUUGCCCUGGUUUCAAAUAAAAAGCUUUCCAGCUGAUGAAGUUGAAGUCUAACAUAAUUUAGACCCAAAGCGCAGAAGGUUGGAUAUUUCUGCCAUUUCCUUCAUGCAAAUUCUUCUCUGAAACAUUAAAUCUAGAGGAUAGAAAGACGACAAUAACAACAUAUUUAUUAAACAAUUUAUUCAUGGAACCAUCUAGAAGAUACAUCUAUUUAAGUAUGCCAUAGCAGUACUUGCCAAUUUACUGAAUUUGAGUGUGAAGUAUUAUAAAAUCCUAACACGUGCAUUUGGAAUACUGUUCUCUUUUCACCCAUUUUUCAGAUUAUUUGUAGUCAUAGCUUUGCCUCAAGUCAAAUUUCUCAACAUUUGACCAAGUCUAUGGAACAAGUUGUACUAGAGCCGCGACCAGUGGCGAAGGACCCGAUAGGGCAAGGCCUGGCGGCCGCCCUACCUUGAUUUCGCUGGUGCAGGCUGCAUGAAAGGCGACGCAUCGGCGCAACGGCGUUGUCGAUGACGAGUGAUCAAAGCCCGCCCUACCUCAACUUUUGUCCGUCCUCCGUCACUGGCCGCGACUAAUUUAGAUUGAAGGGAGUACUAGUAUCUACAACAUCAAAUAUACAUAGCACGGAAAUAUAUUUUAUGACAGAUCUACUGAAACUAAUUUGGUGCCGUAAAAGUAAUACUAUAUUUUUCUGUAAACCUCGUCAAACUUAAUAAAUUUGUCUUAGGACCGAGUUAGAAAUUUGGAUAAUUUGGAAGACAUGGAGUAAUACUCAAUGGCAAAUAGUAAGCUAUUAUGUCAUUAUUAAAAUCCCCUUUUAACACAAUUUUAGCAACACGAAUUACUAACAAAAUAGCAAAGCACGCCCACAAUCCCAUGCACUCCUAGGGGACGCCUUCUAGAAGGCCCACGAGGCCAUGACGCUCGGCCUAACAUGGCCAGGGUUUUCACCUCAGGAAUUGGGGAAGGACGAGGGAUUUUGAAUGCCCCCUCAUAAGGGAGAAUGGGGCAAGAACGCUAUUGUCAACUUUGACUUUGACGUGAAAUCAACCAGGGAUCCCCCCGGUGUUUGGACUCCCACCACCACAACGUCGGUUAAAUGCAUGUGGUGGCUGCAGGCUUUGGGGCAUUUAAUGUCCUAGUUGGUGGUAAUAGGAGUAUCAUAGUUAGUAUCAUGCAUGCCAACUAGACAAUCUUGAUGAUGUGACAUAAAAUUAAAUGAAGAAAGAGAGAGUUGAGUAUCAUACUAUUAUCAUGAUACUGUAUCAUAUUAAAUAGUGUGUUGCUAUGUGUCAUGCAUGAUAAUAAUGAACUAUCCUAUGAUACUAACAUAUGAUACUAUGCAUUACGAAUGUAGUAUCAUAUACUAGUACCAUAUGCAUGAUAUACUAGUACAUGAUACUCCCCAUUACAACCAGCCUAAGUUUGAAGCCAAUCCCCAGACCUCAUCCAUUCCUUCUCUUAUGCCUGAGCGAAUGAGCACAGACCGACCAGAGGCGGCUAGGGUUUACAGUGGCCAGUCGCCCCCGUCGAUGACCAUUCCCGACUUGCAUUUUCUGGACACCUCCUUAUCCCCUUGCGGAGAACUAGGCUGCAGCCUAGUGGCAGAGGGUCGCAGUGGCGAACCCAACACCUAGAGUUCGACUCCCGCCGGGAGCGAAUUUCUGGUGCCUCACCCCGGGUGGGAUUCCUCUAUAAAAGUAUGAACUUUCCCUUUGUCAUUCGACCAUUAGAUGUCGACAUCCCUAGCUAAGUUUCUUCAAAAGUUUCCGCUACCACCUCCAAGUUGUCACAAAUGGAUAGGCAAUAAGCAUGCAAAACUUCUUGACUUGGGUGGCUUUGUGUAAGUUUUGCUUCAAAGAACAAUAAGGUGUUUGCAAAUAAUAAGUGCGAGAUGCCGGGAGCACGAUGACAAUCUUUAAUUGGAGAGAUAUUUCCAACAACAAUUCCUUUAUGAAGGAGAGAAGAUAGACCAUCAACAACGAAAAUGAAUAAAUAUGGGGACAAUGGAUCACCUUGUCAUACCCAUGUGACAUUGCAAAUGGAUUCGAGCAAGUUCCAUUAAACUGGAGUAUCUCACAUCUGUGAGACACAUCAUUAUCCUGUUAAUCCAUGUGUGAGCGAAACCACACAUUUUCCUGUUUUAAAGGUAGCUUCAUUCUAUCCUAUCAUAUGCCUCAAGAGAUCAAACUUAUAAGUACCAAAACUCUUAUUCGAAUCGUUCUAUUUUUUAAUGUGGUGGAUGCAUUCAAAGACAAUUUGAGCAUUAUCACCAAUCAUCCUUGUAGGGAUAAACACACUUUGUGUGGGUGAAAUAAUAUAAUCCAAAAGAGGUUGAAGCCUAUUGACCAGUCACUUUGCAAUAAUUUUGUAUAUGAAAUGGCACAAAUUGAUAGGUCAAAAAUCCGUUUCCCGAAGUGGGUUUACAAUUUUUAGGAUAAUAACGAUGAUGGUGUCAUUAACAUGUUUCGGCAUGACGUGUGCGACAAAAAACACCUUCAAUGCAGCCACCACCUACUUUUAAAAUCCCAUCUUGCUUGUUUGUAAAUGUAUUAAAGAGCGAAACAUCACAUCUCCAUAAAACCAAAAAACCCGUGAAAAGGAGAGGGAGGGCUUGAUGUGCCGGAUCUCAUCGCUCGCCGUCACAAAGGAGGUGAACGUCGUUGCCCCGAGGCAGAACAAAUAAGUGUAGCAAGAUUUUCGUGAUAAAAGGUGGAUUUUAUUCACUCAAAAUAAAGCAUCAAGUGGAUACAAACACAAUGGAUACACACCUAGUCACUACAUAGCUAGGAUGCACAAUGCCAACACCAACACAUGCACACUAAAAAACACACCGACAAAAAGCAAAAUCAUACAAGACCAAGUGAAAGGACGUGGAUGUCGCCUAGAGGGGGUGAAUAGGUGCUUUGAUAUAAUUACAAUUUAGGGUUGAACAAAUGCGGAAUAAAACUUACGUUUAAUUAGUCAAGCACAUAACCUAAAACAGCUAGGCUCACAUAUGUGCACCAACAACUUAUGCUAAGCAAGAUAAACAACUAAGUGGUAGCAAGAUAUAUAACAAGAAACAAUAUGGCUGCCACAAAGUAAUGUGGAUAAGUAAAGGGUUCGAGUAAGAGAUAACCGAGGCACACAGAGACGACGAUGUAUCCCGAAGUUCACACCCUUGCGGAUGCUAAUCUCCGUUUGGAGUGGUGUGGAGGCAUAAUGCUCCCCAAGAAGCCACUAAGGCCACCAUAAUCUCAUCACGCCCUCGCAUAGUGCAAGAUGUCGUUUAUUCCACCAAGGGAACCAUGAGGGUGGUUAUCGAACCCGUAGAAACAAGGUUGGUGCAAUCUCCACAAUUUAACUGGAGGCUCCCAACAACACCACGAAGCUUCACCACAAUGGAUUAUGGCUCCGAGGUAACCACGAAUGCUCGGGCAAUCUCCACAACCUAAUUGGAGACCUAGACGCUUUCCCGAAGCUUUACACCAUAAUGAUUGAGCUCUGAGGCACCACCAAGCUUCUAGGACACCAAAGCACCCAAGAAGAACAAGCUCUAAGGUACCAAUCACCCAAGAGUAAUAAGCUUCUCAAACUUCACUUCCACGUAUCAUCGUGGAGAACUCAAACCUAUGCAACAAAUGCAAUGACAAGGGCACGCGGAGUACCCAAGUCCUUAUCUAUCAAAUCCCACCACAACAACUAAUGCUAUGAAAGAAAAUGAGAGGAAGAACGAAGAAGAACACGAAGAACUCCAAGAUUUAGAUCCAAGAGGGUCCCCUCACAUAUAGGAGAAAGUGAUUGGUGGAAAUGUUGAUCUAGAUCUCUCUCUUUUCCCUCAAGAACUAGCAAGAACCAUUGGAGGGAUCGAGAUAUAGAAAGCUCGAAGAAGGUCAACAAUGGGGUGGCAAAAACAAGGUCAAAGGAUCGGGUUCAAUGGGCGAGAAGAACCCCUUUUAUAGGAAGGGAAAAAUCCAACAGUUGCCCCCUCAACCCGCACAUGAGCGGUACUACCGCUCCAGGGAGCGGUACUACCGCCCAUUAGAGAUAGUACCGCUCCAAUGGGGAGCAGUACUACUGGUGGGGUAGAGGGAAACAAUCAACGAGGGAUGCACAUGCUGGUAGUACAGCCGGAGUGGUACUACCGCCACCAGGAGCGGUACUAACGAUCAUAAGAGGUAGUACCGCCUCCUAUAUCCGCUCACGACAUGCUGCAGACCUAUCCCAGAAAUACCAAACGGUUCUAGCAUGGUAGUAACAAGCGGUACUACCGCUUGCUGGGCUGUACUACCGUCCUACAUUACCGCUCGAGAAAUCGCUCGGUCUAACAUGAAAAGUGUCGAGACCCACGGGCAGUGGCACUAGCUAGCGGAACUAGCCAAAUCACUUACGCCCUAGAACGGUACUACUGCAGCCAGGGCGGUACUACCGAUCAUAAGAGGUAGUACCGCUCCAGGGAGCGGUGCUACUGCUUGGAUCUUUCUAGGCAGGGCUCGGGCAACAAAUGAAAAGCAAGAAUACCAAAAGUGCCAUAUCUCUCGCAUAUGAGCUCCAAAUUGAGCAAACUCAAGCUAGUUGGUUAUCUUAAGCAGAGGAAGUAUAAAAAUGCCAAUGAUAUAGAGAUGUGAAACCUCUAUGAGUGAAGAGCCGGCAAAAACUCCAACAUAAAAAACAUCAUAGAAGAUACAUAUGAACUCCAUUUUCGAUGAACUUGACCUUGUCAUAAAGAUGACCAUAAGCUCUAAAACUCAAAAAGAGAAACACCAAACAAGAACCAAGAAAGACGAUGCAAGGAUGCAAAUGGUUUGAGCUCUCAACGAACAAUAUAAUCAAGCUACUCACUUGAGAGCCCCCCUUGAUAGUAUGACAAUCUAUCCAAAAUAGAAAACCUACCAAGGGAAACCUAUAACUUGCACAUAGUCCACUUGAGCUAGAUGAUGACGAUCUUGACUUACUCAAGAUGGACCACCUUUCUUGAUUGUGUUGGCUCGAUGAAGACUAUUUGAUUGCUCCACCAUACUCACUAUGGGUGAGCCACUCUUCACCACAUCUUCGCUAGUCCAUUGCCACCAUAAUGGACGACAAGCUUCAAGCAUGAUGUCUUCGUGAUGCUCCAGUUGAAGUUGCACACCACAAUCUUGAUGACGAUCACCACUUUAUGUCAUCCUUAAUGGGUUGUAUGACAUAUUCCUCUUGACGUAAGCCCAUGGAAACACACCUAACCCCACAUAGAACUCUCACGAAGAGCAUGUGUUAGUACACAAAGCGUAAUGGACAAUUGUUACCAUACCAUGGGAUCACUUGAUCCCUCUGGUACAUCUUGCAUGCUUUGUGUGUUGAUCAACUUGAUUCACUCUUUGACUUAGUCUUAAUCAACCUUGUGUCUUUAUGACCAAUCUUUGGAUAAAACCUUGAAUACCACCUUGGUCAUCAUAUAAACUCCUUGAAAACCAACAUAUGGACUUCAAGAAGUGCCCAUGGACAAAUCCUUCAAAUAUAACUCAAGGUAACCAUUAGUCCAUCCAUAGGGAUCACCAUCAAUUACCAAAACCACAUAUGGAGAAAUAUUCUCUAACAAUCUCCCCCAUUUUAGUAAUGGAUGACAAUCACUUUCAAGAGAGUUUAUAUAAGGAAAUAAGCACAAGCAAGCACACACAUGCAAAGCAAUAAUGCAUGGGUAUGAGAUGCAAAUGCUUACAGAAAAAAUGCAAAACUCUUUAAAAACUACAAACUAAACUCUCUAAACUUCUCCCCAUUGGCAUCGAUUACCAAAAUGACGAAAAGCUUAGAAAGCCAAUACAAUAGGUGUUCCUCCAAAAAGUGUGUAUUUCUCAAAAUAUGAUUGCAAUGAAAUACACAUAUCCAAUGAUAAAUAGUUGGAGGAAGACAAGCUAUAUUGAGGAUUCAAAGAUUGUAAAAAGAAUGAUAUGUCACAGAGACUUACCAAAGAGUGAAGCAAGCAAUCAAAAGAUACCAAUUGAAACAAACAAUCACAUGGUCCUAGGAGCCACAUGAAUAAAAGACAUUAGUACAUGGGCAAAUGAGUGUUUUAUCGAAACUCGAGAAGCUCCCCAUGAUUUGUGCACUAUUAAGAUUUUUUGUAUUUGAUACAAGUGAAAAAAGGAUCAUUACUCCCCCAAAAUCAAUAAAAACACACAAGUGAAAGCAAGUAGAUAAGACAAUAAGCAUAGAACUUGCACGAAACAUAUGGUUGAGCAACAUCUAAAAGAGGCAACUUAAGAAUUGGCUGAGCCAAAAUGAUGUGUGUGAGUCAUGGCAAAGCACUUUAAGAAGACUAAUAUAAGGACGAGCGUUAAGCAUCAACAUAGUCUUGAUGAAAUGAGCACAAAGUGCAAGACAUAUCCUUCCCACACACACACUACUAUCAAAUGGGUUCACAAGCUUACUAAUAAACAAAUUAAGAACCAACGCUUGUGACAACCCAUGGUGAAGAUAGGAAAUAAUAGCGUUUUCAAGAGGAGGGGUACCAAUCGAAUGGCAAACCCUCGUCAAGAAAAGCAUGAGGAAAAAUAAUCUUCACCGUCAAUGAGUGCAUCAAGAUGCAAGGAUAUGAGAUCCGCACUCAAAACAAAUCCUUUCAAAAAACCACCAAAGACUGAAAAAGGAAAUGCAACGGUGGACGUGAAAGAAAAUAGGAUGUCAACUACAGAUGUAACUUCUCUCAUGUGUACAAAAUUCUAGGUAGAAGACAAUCAUGAUGAUAUAUAUCCACAAAGAAGGUUGUACACAUGAACUAGUUACAAGACGGAACGAACAAGAUAUACAAAAGGAAGUCACAAAUAUACCAAUAAGAGCUUUGCCUGAAAGUAUAGCACAUGGCCUAAUAUUUUCUUAUUGUACAAAAGUGAACUUCCAACACACGAACAUCCAAUACAUCACAACUAGCAAUAAGACUUCAUCGUUGGGAUGCAUUGAGAAAGGAAACAAGUACCGCAAGAAUGCAUCAAUAAAUCCAUGUCAUGAUGCAACCUACAAAAUGUUGUAUGCAAGAAAUGUAUGCAUGAAGUAGAUACUUGUUACCGAGAUAGUAUUGGACUGAUGUAGUAGAUAAAUGUUCAUUGAUCAUCCUAUCUCGGCUCCAAUAAGCGCAUGGUUUCAACACCUUCCUGUAAGUGAGCCGAGCAUACAAUGCAUCUCCACUUGUUCCUAGAACAACAACGCAAACAAAAUGGUACCCAAACUCAUUGGGACCAAAGAGUUACAAAACCAACAAUACAUAGGACAAACUCCACAUAAAUAUGUGGAUAUAGGUAUGAAACUGAAUUUCAUGCACAAUUUAGCCAGUUUAUGACAUGGUGGAGUUUCCCCUAUAUAUUGGGUCAAAGAAAGAAAGCAUGCCAAAGAAGUAAAUAUAGUAAAUAUGCAUGCUCAAGUCUUUCAAGAAUCAAAUCAAGAGACAAUUGAUAAUAUACCAAAAGACAAGGUAUGAAGUGAGAAUAAAAUACCAAACGAAAAAUUAUCACUUGAAGGAUACCAAUCAAAAGAUACAUCAAUGAAUGUGAUAUCCAUUAACAUAUUCCAAACAGGAAACAAUAUACCAAUUGAAGGAAAACAAACAAGAGGUAUCGAGUUCCCGAAGGAGAGCUAGGUUCCAAACAAACCAAAUCGUCGACAAAUUUUCAUGAUGGCACAAAGCACCAUAAAGAGAAAUACUUGGCUCCCACCAGCACACACUUGACGGGGAUCAAAAGAUUUUAAUGAUAAACACAUACAAAGAGUGUUCUAAAGAAAAUAGGAUAACUCCCCCAAGAUAUGUGCAUUAGAUAGAAUUUGCAUUUGAAUACAAAAUGCACAUGAUGGGAUCAUCACUUUCUCUAUAUCUAUAAAAACACUAGACAUGUUCAAAAAGAUCAACGAGGGGCAUGGAAGACAAAUGAUAAACAAAACCCACUUUAGCAAUUUCUACCACUUUAAAGGGAAUACCAAUUGUCACAGGACAAGAAGUAUUUGGAAAUAAUUCCCAUUGGAAAAUUGCAAAAAGAUUCAACAUCAUCUUUACUCCUAAAUCAUAAACAAAUGACACUUGUAGAGCUAACAUGACACCUAGGAACAAGGUAAUUUACAAUAUGAACACUAAGUGGCAAUACCUCAAAUAUACACAUUUUCUAGGCUUGUAAUAUGCAUAUAGCAUAUUACUCCCCAGUAAUGUGAUAACCCAACAUUAUUGACAAGUGGCAAAUGAAAACCAACAAUAGAUAAUUAACGGAACAUUCAUAAUUUGAAUUUCUCAUGGGUAAGACAUACCACAUAGUGACUAGAUAAUCUUGAAAUAUCAAUACUAAGUGGUAUUCCUCAUGUAUACACAUUUAUAGGAUUGUGAGGUGUGCAAAGCACAUCACUCCCUCAAAAUGGGAUAAUCCAUUAAUCUCUCAAAGGAGCCAACAAAGAUACAAACAAGUUGCAAAAAGGCUCAACACAAGACUCACAUGUACAUGAUGUGCAAAAUAAUAUACACAUACUUAAUUACUCAAGAUAAGCAAGUUAAAAGCACAACAUAUACACACACACAUGCAAGGUACAAAACCACAACAUGCAAAGGGGCAAGUAACUAACAAUGUAAACAAUCUAAGUACAAGUUACCGCAAGGAGGAACAUUGGUUAUAAGAUAGAAACUUGAUGAUCCAAAUGACUUGGUUGGGACAAUAUGAAUGGUGAAGACCCCUUAAUUCUUCAUAAUGUAGCCAACUCUCCAAUGCCCUCCACCAUCACCUAUUGAUCAAGUUUGAGCUUGUUGGUCCCCAACCACGUUGGGUCCCAAAUGGAUCUUUUGUUGACACCACUUUGAGUACCAACAAACUUGGCAAACACAUUGCCAACCUUAUACUUCCCAAGAGAAUAAAUAUCAUAAAUUAGAAUAGGGUUAGAUAAGGUACCGUUCGUGCAUGAAGAAGCAAAGUGACCCUUCUCAGGCAUAAGUAGCAACAUCUACCAUUUACUUUCUUCUCAAUUGAUUUAUCAACUAGAGGAGCGUUGGACUCGGUAUUCUUGGGAAGGGCCUUUCUUCAACUUGUAGUUGAGUAUGUGAUUGAACUUGUGGCCGCUUCCCUUGUUGCUUGUGACUAUGGGGCUUCUUCAUUAAUGGGAAAGAUUUGUUGGAAAUAUGCCCUAGAGGCAAUAAUAAAUUAGUUAUUAUUAUAUUUCCAUGUUCAUGAUAAUCAUUUAUUAUCCAUGCUAGAAUUGUAUUGAUUGGAAACUCAAAUACAUGUGUGGAUACAUAGACAACAUACUGUCCCUAGUGAGCCUAUAAGGACUAGCUCAUUGAUCAAAGAUGGUCAAGGUUUCCUGACCAUAGACAUGAGUUGUCAUUUGAUAAUGGUAUCACAUCAUUAGGACAUUGAUGUGAUGGACAAGACCCAAACUAUGAAUGUAGCAUGUGAUCAUGUCAAUUUAUUGCUACUGUUUUCUACAUGUCAAGUAUAUGUUUCUAUGACCAUGAGAUCAUGCAACCCCCAGGCACCGAGGGGAUGCCUUAUGUGUAUAAAACAUCACAACGUAGCUGGGUGACUAUAAAGGUGCUCUAGAGGUAUUUCCGAAGGCGUCUGUUGGGUUGGUGUGAAUCCAAACUAGGAUUUGUCACUCCGUAUGAUGGAGAGGUAUCUCUAGGGCCCACUCGGUAAUACAACAUCACAAUGAGCUUGAAAGAAAUGUGACUAAGGACUUAGUCAUGUUAUCUUGUAUUACGGAACGAGUAAAUAGACUUGUCGGUAAUGAUAUUGAACUAGGGAUGGAGAUACCAACGAUCGAAUCUCGGGCAAGUAACAUACCGAUGGAAAAAGGGAACAAUAUACAGGAUUGAUUGAAUCCUUGACAUCGUGGUUCGACCGAUAAAGAUCUUCAUAGAAUUUGUAGGAGCCAAUAUGGGCAUCCAGGUCCUGCUAUUGGUUAUUGACCGGAGAGUGUCACGGUCAUGUGUGCAUAGUUCUCGAACCCGCAAGGUCUGCACACUUAAGGUUCAGUGACAAUUUCGUAUUAAUGAGUUAUGUGUGAUGGUAACCGAAAGUUGUUCGGAUUCCCGGAUGAGAUCCCGGACGUCAUGAGGAGCUCUAGAAUGGUCCAUAGGUAAAGAAUUAUAUAUGGGAUAUCAUAUUUUGGCUACCGGAAAAGUUUCAAGUUUUUUCGGCAUUGUAUCGGGAAGCUUCUAGAAGGUUACGGAAACUUCCGGGGGAGUACGAAAGUCCACCAAGGGUUCUACCACGUUGCAAGGAUUUGCAUGGGCUGAGGGGAGACGUCGUGGCCUAAUUGGGCCAAGCGCAUGAGUCCCUCAAGGCCCAUGUAGUUGGGAAAGGUGGAAAGUCCACUUUUGUAUGGAAGGGAAGGAAGGGGGAGUAGGAUUCCACCUCCUCCCCCCUUGAAUGCGCCCUAGGGCUUGGAGGGGUUGUUCCCGACGCCCAUCCACCUAUAUAUAUAGAGGGGAGGGGGCGCCCCAAGAGGACGCACGAAGCCCUUGGCACCCCUCUCUCUCUCCCUAGAUCGUUUUCUCCUUCGUUUGCGGUUUUGGUAGCGCUAGGCGUAGCCCUGCAGGGGUAGCACCACCACAACGGCCACCACACCGUCGUGUUGCCGGAGAACUCAUCUAUUACUACUCCCUCACUUGCUGGAUCGAGGAGGCGAGACGUCAUUGAGUUGUACGUGUGCUGAACGCGGAGGUGCCGUCCGUUUGACGCUUGAUCGGGAGUUCAUGGGACGGAACGUGAUUGGAUCGUGAAGACGUACCACUACAUCAACCGCGUUCUUUAACGCUUCCACUUAGCGAUCUAGAAGGGUAUAUGAAUCCGAUCUCUCCUCACGUAGAUGAUCAUCACCAUGGAUAGAUCUUGUAUGUACGUAGGAUUUUUUUGUUUCCCAUGCAACGUUCCCCAAUAGUGGCAUCAUGAGCUAGGUCUAUGCGUAGAUGACAUCACGCGUAGAACACAAAGGUGUUUGUGGGUGUUGAUAUUCAAAUUGCUUCCUUCCUUAGUCUUUUCUUGAUUCAUCGGUAUUGUUGGAUGAAGCGGCCCAGACCAACCUUACUCGUACGCUUACGACAGACCGGUUCCAUCGAAUGACAUGCAACUGUUGCAUAAAGAUGGCUCGCGGGUGUUUGUUUCUCCUACUUUAGUUGAAUCAUAUUUGACAAAGGUGGUCCUUGUAGAAGGUUAAAUAGCAACUUGUGUAUCACCGUUGUGUCUUUGCAAAGGUAAGAAUCGUUCUUGCUAGAUACCCAUAGUAGCCACGUAAAACAUGCAACAACACAUUAGAGGACGUCUAACUUGUUUUUGCAGGGUAUGCAUGUGAUGUGAUAUGGCCAACGACAUGAUGUGAUAUAUUUGAUGUAUGAGAUGAUCAUGUUGUAAUAGUUAAAUAUCGACUUGCAUGUCGAUGCUACGGCAACCGACAUGAGCCAUAUGAUUGUCUUUAAUUAUUUUGCGUUUGGUGAUGCUUUACUUUAUCACUAAGAGGUAGAAAUAGUAGUACAAGCAUAGUUGGCGUGACGACCUCAAUGGCAGCACGAUGAUGGAGAUCAUGGUGUUGUGCUGGUGACGAUGGAGAUCAUGCCGGUGCUUUGAAGAUGGAGAUAAAAAUCACAAGUUCAUGGCCAUAUCAUGUCACUUAUGAUUUGCAUGUGACGUUAAUAUUUUUAUGCACCUUGUUUGGCUUAGGACGAUGGUAGAAUUAUAAGGUGACCCCUCACUAAAAUUUCAAGAUAAAAUUGUGUUCUCCCCGAGUGUGCACCAUUGCGAAAGUUUUUCGUUUCAUGACACCACGUGAUGAUCCGGUGUGAUAGACUCUACGUACAUAUACAAUGGGUGCAAGACAGUUUUGCACACGUGAAAUACUCGGGUUAAACUUGACGAGCCUAGCAUGUACACACACGGCUUUGGAACACAUGAGAUCAAAAGGUCGAACAUGAGUCAUAUAGUAGAUAUGAUCAACAUGGAGAUAUUCAACAUUGAAGCCAACUCAUCUCACGUGAUGAUCGUACUUGGGUUGGUGAAUUUGGAUCAUGUGUCACUCGAAUGACUAGAGGGAUGUUAGUUUGAGUGGGAGUUCUUAAGUAAUAUGAUCAACUGAACUCAUUAUCAUGAACAUAGUCACAAUGUCUUUGCAAAUUAUGUUGUAGAUGAUUGGCUUGCACUAUAGCUCCCGUGUAUUUUGAUAUGUUCCUAGAGAAAACUAAGUUGAAAGAUGAUAGUAGCAGUUAUGCAGAUUGGAUCCGUAAACUAAAUAUUGUCCUCAUUGUUGCGCAGAAAGUUUAUGUCCUCAAUGCACUGCUCGGUGAGCUAUUUAAGACAAUGUGGAAAUUGUUUCACAACUAAUGCCACCUGGAACACCCUAGUGUGAUGGUGCGUCCGAACAUCGUAGUCGCGCCCUAUUAGAUAUGGUGCCUACUAUGAUGUUUCUUAUCAAAUUACCACUAUUGUUUUGGGGUUAUGCAUUAGAGUCAACCACAUUCACUUUAAAUAGGGCACCAUUUAAAUCUCUUGAGAUGACACCGUAUGAACUAUGGUUUAGUGAAACCUAAGAUGUCGUUUCUCAAAGUUUGGGGCUGCGAUGCUUAUAUGAAAAGGCUUCAUCCUAAUAAGCUCAAACCCAAAGCGGAUAAAUGCAUCUUCAUAGGAUACCCAAAGGAAUCAGUUGGGUAUACCUCCUAUCUUAGAUCCUAAAGCAAAGUGUUUGUUGAUGAAAACGGGUCCUUUCUCGAGAAAGAAUUGAGUGGGAGGAUGGUGGAACUUGAUGAGGUUGUUGAACCAUCACUUCAAACAGAGUCUAGAGGGCGCAUGAAGUUGUUCCUGUGGCGCCUACACCAAAUUUAAGAGGAAGCCAAUGAUGAUGAUCAUAAAUAUUCAAAUUAAGUUACUUCCAAACGUAGUAUGUCGACAAGGACAUGCACUACUCCAAGAUGGUACAGUAAUCCUGUCUUGGAGGUCAUUUGUUGGACAACAAUGAACCUACGAGCUAUGGAGAAGCGAUAGUGGGCCUCGAUUCUGACGAAUGGCUGGACGCCAUGAAAUCCGAGAUAGGAUCCAUGUAUGAAAAAAAAGUAUAGACUUUGGAAGAACCACUUGAUGGUCGUAAGGCUAUUAAGUACAAUUGGAUCUUUAAAAGGAAGACAUACGAUGAUGGUGAAUGUCACCAUUUAGAAAGCUCGACUUGUUGCAAAGAUCUUUCCAACAAGUUCAAGGAGUUGACUAUGAUGAGACUUUAUCAACCGUAGCGAUGCUAAAGUCUGUUGGAAUUAUGUUAGCAGUUGCUGCAUUUUUCAAUUAUGAUAUCUUGCAGAUGGAUGUCAAAACAUUGUUUCCUCGACGGUUUCCUUGAGGAAAGGUUGUAUGUGAUACAACCAGAAGGUUUGUCGAUCCUAAGGAUGCUGACAAGUAUGUAAACUCCAGCAAUCCUUCUAUGGACUGGAGCAAGCAUAUCAGAGUUGUAAUAUGUGCUUUGAUAAGAUGAUCAAAGCUUUUAGGUUCAUACAAAGUUUAUGAGAAACUUGUAUUUACAAGAAAGUUAGUGAGAGCACUAUAGAAUUUCUGAUAAGUAUAUGUGGUUGACAUACUAUUGAUCGGAAAUGAUGUAGAAUUUCUGAAAAGCAUAUAGGGUUGUUUGAAAUGAGUUUUUCAAAAGAAAACCUGAAUUAAGCUGCUUGAACAUUGGGCAUCAAGAUCUAUAUAGAUAGAUCAAGAUGCUUGAUAAAACUUUCAAUAAAGAGAUGCCUUGACAAAUUUUUUGAAGGAGUUCAAAAUGGAUGAGUCAAAGAAGGAGUUCAAAAUGGAUGAGACUCAAAGCCCGACCAUGGCAGAAGAAAGAGAAAGGACGAAUGUCGUUCCCUAUGCCUUAGCCAUAGGCUCUAUAGUAUGCCAUGUUGUGUACACACCUGAUGUGUGCCUUACCAUGAGUGUGUCAAGGGGUACAAAGAGUGAUCUACGAAUGAAUCACUGAACAACGGUCAAAGAUAUCCUUAGUAACUAGUGGACUACGAAUUUUUUCUUGAUUAUGGAGGUGAUAAAAGAGUUCGUUGUAAAGGGUUACGACGAUGCAAGAUUUGACACCAAUCUGGAUGACUCUGCGUAGCAAACCGGAUUCGUAUAGUGGAGCAGUCAUUUGGAAUGGUUCCAAAUGGCGCGUGGUAGCGACAUCUAUAGGAUGACAUAGAGAUUUGUAAAGCACACACAGAUCUGAAAGGUUCACACCCGCUGACUAAAACCUCUCUCACAAGCAAACAUGAUUAAACCCUAGAACUUAUUAGGCGUGAAUCACAUAGUGAUGUGAACUGUUGGAAAUAUGCCCUAGAGGCAAUAAUAAAUUAGUUAUUAUUAUAUUUCCUUGUUCAUGAUAAUCGUUUAUUAUUGAUGUCUACUACACAACCUUCUUCUUGUAGACUCGUGUUGGGCCUCCAAGCGCAGAGUUUUGUAGGACAAUAGCAAGUUUCUCUCAAGUGGAUGACCUAAGGUUUAUCAAUUCGUGGGAGGCGUAUGAUGAAGAUGGUCUCUCUCAAGCAACCCUGCAAUCAAAUAUCAAAGAGUCUCUCGUGUCCUCAACACACCAAAUACAAUGGCAAAUUGUAUAGGUGUACUAGUUCAGCGAAGAGAUGGGGAUACAAGUGUAAUAUGGAUGGUAGAUAUAGGUUUUUAUAAUCUGAAAAUAUAAAAACAGCAACGUAACUAAUGAUAAAAGUGAGCACAAACAGUAUUGCAAUGCUUAUAAACAAGGCCUAGGGUUCAUACUUUCACUAGUGCAAGUUCUCCCAACAAUACUAACAUAGUUGAAUCAUAUAUAAAUCCCUCACGUGCGAGAAAGAGUUCACUCCAAAGUCACAAAUAGCAGAGAACAAUCGAAGAAAUUAUUGUAGGGUACGAAACGACCUCAAAGUUAUCUUCUCUGAUCAAUCUUAUGAGCUAUCCCUAUAAGUGUCACGAACAACCCUAGAGUUCGUACUAAAAUAACACCUUAAGAUACACAUCAACCAAAACCCUAAUGUCACCUAGAUACUCCAUUGUCACCACAAGUACCCAUGGGCUUGAUUAUACGAUAUGCAUCACACAAUUUAAGAUUCAUCAUGUUCAAUCCAACACAAAGAACUUCAAAGAGUGCUCCAAUGUUUCUACCGGAGAGUCAAGACGACAACAUGUGCCAACCCCUAUGCAUAGAUUCCCAAGGUCACGAAACCAGCAAGUUGACCACCAAAACAUACAUCAAGUGGAUCAAUAGAAAACCCAUUGUCACCAUGGCUAUCCCAUCGCAAGACAAACAUCAAGUGUUCUCAAAUCCUUAAAGACUCGAUCCGAUAAGAAAACUUCAAAGGGAAAACUCAAUACAUCACAAGAAGAUAGAGAGGGGAAAACUCCAUAUGAUUCAUCUAUAUUAAUAAAGCUCGCGAUACAUGAAGAUCGUGUGAUGACCCACAAGUAUAGGGGACCAAUCAUAGUCCUUUCGAUAAGUAAGAGUGUCGAACCCAACGAGGAGCACAAGGAUCUGACAAGUGGUUUUCAGCAAGGUAAAAUCUGCUGGCACUGAAAUUGUCGGUAACAAGUGAUUGUGUGGUGAGACGAUUCGUAGCAAGCAACAAGUAACAAAACUAGCAACGGUGCAGCAAAGUGGCCCAAUCCGUUUUGUAGCAAGGGACAAGCCUGGACAAAGUCUUCUAGGAGGAAAAACGCUCCCGAGGACACACGGGAAUUUCUGUCAUGCUAGUUUCAUCAUGUUCAUAUGAUUCGCGUUUGUUACUUUGAUAGUUUGAUAUGUGGGUGGACCAGCGCUUGGGUACUGCCCUUACAUGGACAAGCAUCCCACUUAUGAUUAACCCCUCUCGCAAGCAUCCACAACUACGAAAGAAGAAAUAAUACAAAGUCUAACCAUAGCAUUAAACUAGUGGAUCCAAAUCAGCCCCUUACGAAGCAACACAUAAACUAGGGUUUAAGCUUCUGUCACUCUAGCAACCCAUCAUCUACUUACUACUUCCCANNNNNNNNNNAUAAUGGUGAAGUGUUAUGUAGUCGACGUUCACAUAACACAACUAGAGGAAAAACAACAUACAACAUAUCAAAUUACCGAACGAAUACCAAAUUCACAUGACUACUAUUAGCAUGACUUAUCCCAUGUGCUCAGGAACAAAAGUAACUACUCACAAAGCAUAACCAUAUUCAUGACCAGAGAGGUAAUGAGUAGCAGCAAGGAUCUGAACAUAAACUCUUCCACCAAGUAAUCCAACUAGCAUCAACUACAAAGAGUAAUCAACACUACUAGCAACCUUACAAGUACCAAUCGGAGUCGCGAGAUGGAGAUUGGUUACAAGUGAUGAACUAGGGUUUGGAGAUGAGAUGGUGCUGAUGAAGAUGUUGAUGGUGACGAGUCCCCUCAGAUGAGAGGAGUGUUGGUGAUGACGGUGGCGAUGAUUUCCCCCUCCGGGAGGGAAGUUUCCCCGGCGGGAUCAUCCUGCCGGAGCUCUAGAUUGGUUCUGCCCAAGUUCCGCCUCGUGGCGGCGGAGAAUACACGAAAAAGCUCGUCCCUGAUUUUUUUUUCCUGGACGAAACCCUUCAUAUAGCAGAAGAGGGGGGCAAGUGGGCCAGCAGGUUGCCCACAAGCCCUCAUGGCGCGGCCUGGGGGUGGCCGUGCCGUGCAGGCUUGUGGCCAACCCGUGGCGCCCCUCUCACUUCUUCGGCCCAAUAUUUUUGAUAAAUCCGAAAAAAAUCCUCGUUGAUUUUCACGGCGUUUGGAGUUGCGCAGAAUAGGUAUCUCAACUUUGCUCCACUUUCAGGCCAGAAUUCCAGGUGCCGGCAUUCUCCCUCUUCAUGUAAACCUUGCAAAAUAAGAGAGAAAAGGCAUAAGAAUUGUACCGUGAAGUGAAAUAACAUCCCAAGAAGCGAUAAAUAUCAACAUGAAAACAUGAUGCAAAAUGGACGUAUCAACUCCCCCAAGCUUAGACCUCGCUUGUCCUCAAGCGAAAGCCAAGCUCAAUAAAUAUGUCCACAUGUUUAGGGAGAGAUGUGUCGACAAAACAAGAUACGAACAUGCAUGCAUCAUGAUCAAGAUCAGAACAACAAUACCAACAUAUAAUCUCUCAUGCUAAAGUGAUAAUUCCUUCACAAAGUAAAGCAUGGAUCAAGNNNNNNNNNNNNNNNNNNNNNNNNNNNNNNNNNNNNNNNNNNNNNNNNNNNNNNNNNNNNNNNNNNNNNNNNNNNNNNNNNNNNNNNNNNNNNNNNNNNNCCGUGAGCCAUGGUUAUAGCACUAUAGAUGGUGCGGAAUGUAGUGGAGGUUGCAAGACAAAAAGGAGAAGAUAGUCAAAUUAAUUAGGCAUAUCAAUGAGCUAUGGAGAUGCUCAUCAAUAGAUAUCAAUGUGAAUGAGUAGGGAUUGCCAUACAAAUGAUGCACUAGAGCUACGAGUAUGUGAAAGCUCUUAAAGAAAACUAGUGGGUGUGCAUCCAACUUGCUUGCUCACGAAGACCUAAGGCAAUUUUGAGGAAGCCUAUCAUUGGAAUAUACAAAGCCAAGUUAUGUAAUGAAAAUUUCCCACUAGCUAUAUGGUGGUGACAAAACGAGAGACUCUCAAUCAUGAAGAUCAUGGUGCUUAAUAUGCACAAGUGUGGAAAAAGUGGUAGCAUUGUCCCUUCUCUCUUUUUUUUAAUUUUUUUUUGUGUGUGGGCUCUUUGGCCUUUUUUUAUUUUGGUGGGCUUCUUUGGCCUGUUUUAUUUCCUCACAUGGGACAAUGCUCCAUUAAUGAUGAUCAUCACACUUUCAACUCAAAACUUAGAGUAACCAUGACUCUAUAUGGAACGCCUUUGGUAGUGUACCAUGACAAUGAUCUAGCAUGGCAUAGACAUCAAUGGAAACAUCAUGCUAGCUAUCUUACGAUCAUGCAAUGGCAAUGUAGACGUGGUGUCACAUGUCAUGGUGGUAGUUGCAUGGCAAUAUAUCUCGGAAUGGCUUUGAAAAAGGCAUGGUAGGUAGGUAUAGUGGCUGUUUUGAGGGAGGCUAAUGGUGGGUUUUCUGCACCGGCGAAAAUUGCACGGCACUAAGAAGAUAGUGAUGGUGGAAGGUGAAAGUGCAUCUAAACCAUGGACUCAACAUUAGUCAUGAAGAACUCAUAUACUUGUUGCAAAAGUUUUAUUAGUAAUCGAAACAAAGCAUUCAACGCAUACUCCUAGGGGAAGGGUUGGUAGGUAUAAACCAUCGCGUGAUCCCGACCGCCACGCAAAGGAUGACAAUCAAUAUACUAAUCAUGCUCAGAUUUCAUCACAUAGCGGUUCACCAUACGUGCAUGCUACGGGAAUCACUAACUUCAACACAAGUAUUUCAGAUCCACAACAUCUUACUAGCAUGACUUCAAUAUUACCAUAACCACAACUCAAAACUAAUUGAGAUGAAUCAAACUUCUCUAACUAUUCAAUGCACAUGAAGGUGGAAUUUUUCGUAUCCCUUUGGAUAACUACCACUUUUGAGACUACUUUCAAAGCAUAGAUCAACUACCAAGCCACACACCUCUGUGCUCUAAAAGAUAUAAGUGAAGCACAUAGAGCAAAAGUAUCUAGCUCAAAAGAUAUAAGUGAAGCGCAUGUGAGCUGAAUUUUCUACCAAACAGUAUAAGUGAAGCUCGACAAAAUCACGGUGUGUGCAUGUAUCUCUAUCUAGGUGUGCAUCAAGGAUUAUUGUGACACAACAAAAAUAAAAGACUCCUACGAUACAAGACGCUCCAAGCAAAAACACAUAGCAUGUGGUGAAUAAAAAUAUAGCCCCAAGUAACGUUACCGAUGGAUUGNNNNNNNNNNGUUUUCGUAUCCCUUUGGAUAACUACCCCUUUUGAGACUACUUUCAAAGCAUAGAUCAACUACCAAGCCAUGCACCGUUGGGCUCUAAAAGAUAUAAGUGAAGCACAUAGAGCAAAAGUAUCUAGAUCAAAAGAUAUAAGUGAAGCACAUGUGAGCUGAAUUGUCUACCAAAAGAUAUAAGUGAAGCUCGACAAAAUCACGGUGUGUGCAUGUCUCUCCCUCUAGGUGUGCAGCAAGUAUGAUUGUGACACAACAAAAUAAAAGACUCCUACGAUACAAGACGCUCCAAGCAAAAACACAUAACAUGUGGUGAAUAAAAAUAUAGCCCCAAGUAACGUUACCGAUGGAUUGAAGACGAGAGAGGGGAUGCCUUCCCAAGGCAUCCCCAAGCUUAGGAUUUUACGGCAUCCUUGAAUCUCUUGGGGUUCCUUUGGCAUCCCCAAGCUUGAGCUCUUGCCACUCUUUAUCUCUUUGUCCAUAAGANNNNNNNNNNNNNNNNNNNNNNNNNNNNNNNNNNNNNNNNNNNNNNNNNNNNNNNNNNNNNNNNNNNNNNNNNNNNNNNNNNNNNNNNNNNNNNNNNNNNNNNNNNNNNNNNNNNNNNNNNNNNNNNNNNNNNNNNNNNNNNNNNNNNNNNNNNNNNNNNNNNNUAUGAGAAAGAAAACCACCACUUCCUUAGGUACUGUAGCAAACUUAAAUUAUACUUGUGCUGAUGUUGGGUUACUGUAUUUUCAAUCUUCCAUGGCUAAUACCCCCCGAUACUAUCCAUAGUUUCAUCAAAAUAAGCAACCAACACAANNNNNNNNNNNNNNNNNNNNNNNNNNNNNNNNNNNNNNNNNNNNNNNNNNNNNNNNNNNNNNNNNNNNNNNNNNNNNNNNNNNNNNNNNNNNNNNNNNNNCCUCUUAACAAGGGCACAAGCAUGAAAUCACAAUUUCAUCUCUUUAGAACAUCACUUAUGUUCCGUGACGUUUUACAAUGUUUUCGGUGCCUUGCUUCUAAGCCAUUAAGUAUUUUGCACUGAACUAUCGUGUAGUCAUCAGAAACGUGUAUGUCGGAUGUUCAUAGCAUCCACAGACGACGCUCGAGGUGCAGCACACCGAGUGGUGCAUUAAGGACAUAAGCCUUCUGCGCAGCAAUGAGGACAAUCCUCGGUUUUACAAACUCAGUCUACAAAGUUUGCUACUAUCAAUUUUCAACUAAAUUUUCUCUAGGAACAUAUAAAAACAGUAGAGCUAUAGNNNNNNNNNNCGAGGACAAUCCUCUUCAAAGCUUGCUACUAUCAACUUUCAACUAAAUUUUCUCUAGGAACAUAUAAAAACAGUAGAGCUAUAGCGCAAGCUACAUCGUAAUUCGCAAAGACCAUUAGACUAUGUUCAUGACAAUUAGUUCAAUUAAUCAUAUUACUUAAGAACUCCCACUCAAAAAGUACAUCUCUCUAGUCAUUUGAGUGGUUCAUGAUCCACUUACACUAGCUCAAGUCCGAUCAUCACGUGAGUUGAGUNNNNNNNNNNNNNNNNNNNNNNNNNNNNNNNNNNNNNNNNNNNNNNNNNNNNNNNNNNNNNNNNNNNNNNNNNNNNNNNNNNNNNNNNNNNNNNNNNNNNGAAAAUAGUUUUGAAUUAUUUAUUCAAUUUCAAACACUUUUCAUUUUCGUAGUUUUGUCAAAUUCUCAAAUAUGCAAAAAGAAUUUUAAUAAAAAUAGUUUUUAUUUGAAAAUAACAAAAUAGUUAAUAGUUUGGAUAGUCAAAAUAAUUAAUUUUGAAAAUAGAAAAUAGUUUUGAAUUAUUUAUUCAAUUUCAAACACUUUUCAUUUUCAUAGUUUUGUCAAAUUCUCAAAUAUGCAAAAAGAAUUUUAAUAAACAUAGUUUUUAAUUGAAAUAACAAAAUAUUUAAUAGUUUGGAUAGUCAAAAUAAUUAAUUUUGAAAAUAGAAAAUAGUUUUGAAUUAUUUAUUCAAUUUCAAACACUUUUCAUUUUCAUAGUUUUGUCAAAUUCUCAAAUAUGCAAAAAGAAUUUUAAUAAACAUACUUUUCAAUUGAAAAUAACAAAAUAGUUAAUAGUUUGGAUAGUCAAAAUAGUUAAUUUUGAAAUUAGAAAAUAGUUUGGAAUUAUUUAUUCAAUUUCAAACACUUUUCAUUUUCAUAGUUUUGUCAAAUUCUCAAAUAUGCAAAAAGAAUUUUAAUAAACAUAGUUUUUAAUUGAAAUAACAAAAUAUUUAAUAGUUUGGAUAGUCAAAAUAAUUAAUUUUGAAAAUAGAACAUAGUUUUGAAUUAUUUAUUCAAUUUCAAACACUUUCCAUUUUCAUAGUUUUGUCAAAUUCUCAAAUAUGCAAAAAGAAUUUUAANNNNNNNNNNNNNNNNNNNNNNNNNNNNNNNNNNNNNNNNNNNNNNNNNNNNNNNNNNNNNNNNNNNNNNNNNNNNNNNNNNNNNNNNNNNNNNNNNNNNAGACCUUGUGCACAUCCGGGGCAGACUGGUGCCGCCGCCCUCUUCCGGCGAGCUGUUGUCGUCGCUCGCGUCCCGAUCGGGAGCGGAGUCGACGAGCAUAGCGCCCCGCCUGGCCUUCCCGCGUUGACCGCUCGGCUGGGCCCCGAGCCGGCCCCUCUUGAGUGCCUCGUCGCGCCUCCCCGAGGCCCAGCUUUGGCCUCCCCCAAGGCCCACUCCACCUCUGCUGCACCAGGCCGGCCCACAAGUUGAGAAUCCCCCCUGAGACACUAUUCCACGCCCACGCAGUUGAUAGGUAUCUCGCACCCGUGUUUUGUAGGCCCGAUUGGUGGAUUUAGGCCCGUUAGUAAUUUAGGAGUUUUCGGAAUAAUUAAAUUCCAGAAAAUAACCGUAUAUUAGAACGGUCGUAUCUUUUUAACCAUGUGUCGAAACGAGGCGUGUAGUAUAUGGUUUCCGUGUAGUUUUGCGCGUAGAUUACGUUGGUGCNNNNNNNNNNCGUAUGCCUAGGUUUCCGUGUUGUCUAGAUAGGUUAGUGCCCGUAUUUAAUUUUCUCGCAAGUCCGGAUUGCUUGUAUGCCGUAUUAGAAAUGUCCAUGAUUUAGGAACCCUCUUGCCAUGUAUUUUAGAGUAGUCAUCCAUAUUUUUGCGUGUAGGGAUUGCCGCUAGUUUAUUUUUCCGUGCUUAGGUUAUUAUCUCGCAUUUACGUGNNNNNNNNNNUCGUGAUGCCCUUUUGUUUAUUUCGUAGGAUUUAUUCCGUGCUUCGUUUGAUUAAGUUGUCAACUAGAGAGUUGAUCUUUGAUGUNNNNNNNNNNUGGCAUUAUUUUGUGUUGCAACCCCACAUAUUUUAUAUGUUUUCGGGGUAGAAAAAUCAAUGGGAUUUUUCUGUGCAAUUAGUUUUAGCUUUCGAGUAAGUUAGUUCGCGCGAUAUUUUGCCGUGAUGCCCUUUUGUUUAUUUCGUAGUUUUUAUUUCGUGCUUCGUUUGAUUAAGUUGUCAACUAGAGAGUUGAUCUUUGAUGUNNNNNNNNNNGAUUAAGCUUUGCUAGUCUUGAUACCUUUGGAAAUGAGAUUGUUGAGUCCCAUGUGGCUCACAGAUUACUACAACACCACUUGCAAGUACAGGUAAAGGUUACUUGACGCGAGCGCAUUGAUUGUUCAUUUGGAGUUGCUUCUUCUUCAUCGAUCUAGGAUGGGUUCCAGGCCGGCAGCCUGGGAUAGCAAGGAUGGACGUCGUUCUUCUUUUGUCAUUUUUUUUCGUCCGUAGUCGGACCCUGCUCUUACUCUUGAUGAUUAUGUAAUGUACUGAUGUGACUCUGAUGUAGCUUGUGGCGAGUGUAAGCCAAUUCUAAAUAUAUAUAUCUCUUCUUUUUAGUACAUAUACUUGUAACGAUAUCCAUUCUUGCGACACGCCGAGAUGCGCUUCUAGCCCUGACGAGGCCUUCGUGCCAAAUUGAGGAUAGGGUCGCAUCUUGGGCGUGACACUAGGUUUAGAUAUCUGGGAAGGAACGUGUUCGAGGUCCACUUUGGUAGCGAGGGAGAUUGGAGACAUGUUCUGCACAAUGGACCAUGGGAGUUUGAUUUCAGUGUUUUGAUUGUGAAGGAAUAUGAUGGGGGUACCAGGCCCUCGAAGAUGGUGUUCGAUAAGGUGGAGAUGUGGGUUCAGGUGCAUGAUCUCCCACCGGAUAAGAGGACGGAGGAGUUUGGGAAUGCCUUGGGCAACUGGCUCGGGAAGGUGGUGAGGAUGGAUGUUGACGAGGAAGGAAAAGCUAAAGGUCAACACCUUAGGGUUCAUGCUCAGAUCUCUGUGUUUGAGCCGCUGGUGAGGGGCUUUUUCCUGAGAUCAUCGCGGGAGGAGAAGAGUAAGCUAUGGUUUGAUUUUCACUAUGAGAAGGUUCCACACUUUUGCUUUGAGUGUGGUAGAUUGGUACAUGUUGAUGGGGUCUGCGACCCACCUGUGGACUCUUCGUCUUAGUGGGGAGGAUGGCUCCGGGCGUCGUCAGAUAAGCAUGGUGUAUCAAAAGGUGGCUCACAAGGAGGAUGUGGUGGUAGUAACAAUAGUAUGGGCAGUGGAAGACAAGGUGAUAGUGAUCAGUAUGCUCAUCAGAUGACUAGGGUGCGCGAUCUUCCUACCAAGCGUAAUCUGCACUCAGAAUUUUCGUGUACAGGUGACUCCCGCACUGGCGAGGAGAAUAGACCUGGGGGGAAAGAUGUGAGGAGCCCAAUUAAUAGCAGAGGCAUAGCAAAGGAGCAGCACGAGCGGGACUUAAGAUAUGAUCUGGAGCAAAGGAGAGAGGAGGUGCUGAGGGGCAAGUUGGUCGAACAACAGAGACAGAGAGAGAGGGUUCCUACUGACUGCAUGGUCAGGGAGGAUAGGGGUUUCCGUACUCUCCCCAAAGCUUUUCCUGUUGAUGAAUCGGGAAGGAGGAUGGAGGGUAUCUCAACAUCGGGUCAUGGAGGAACAACGGAGAGGAGGAGGGGGCACUACGUAAGGAAGCCGAGAUAGGAAUAUCGUCCAAUUACAAAGAGUUCUUCUAGGAGACUGGGAGAGGAUGGCAAUAGGAAAAGGCGGCCUAAGCAACUAUGGGUAGCAAAAGAUGACCCAGAUAGACAGUUUAUUCAUGAUGCCUUCAUUCGUGAUACAAGACGCAAGACGUCUUCAGUGUUUGAUCGUAUCUCGAAAUACAAUGAUAUAGCGGCGGACCCUGCGGAGCAGGGCNNNNNNNNNNNNNNNNNNNNNNNNNNNNNNNNNNNNNNNNNNNNNNNNNNNNNNNNNNNNNNNNNNNNNNNNNNNNNNNNNNNNNNNNNNNNNNNNNNNNUUCAAAACUAUUUUCUAUUUUCAAAAUUAAUUAUUUUGACUAUCCAAAGUAUUAACUAUUUUGUUAUUUUCAAUUAAAAACUAUGUACAAAACGUGCAUUUAAUUUUGUUUUUUUGGGCUAGUUGACCCUAAAAUUGAAAAGCACUACAAANNNNNNNNNNCGUCACAAAUUUUUAACAAUUUCUGACUUAAUUUGGUAUUUUUCGUGCAUUUACUUUUGUUUUUUUGGGCUAGUUGACCCUAAAAUUGAAAAGCACUACAAAUGAACUCUGAAAAUGUUGAAAGUUGGCAUGCUAUCAUCAUUUCACCCACAUAGCAUGUGUUAAAAAGUUGAGAGGGCUACGACAAAAACUGGAUGCACUUCGUGUACAAAACGGACAAUCUCUCUCGAAGUAUGAGCGUUUCAAACGAGAACUCAUCUCUUACAAAGGGAUUUCAUUUUUUGAACUUAUUUGAACUCCAUACUUUUUGUGUGUUUAAAAUNNNNNNNNNNUAAAACGGCCAAUCUCUCUCGAAGUAUUAGGGUUUCGAACGAGAACUCAUCUCUUACAAAGGGAUUUCAUUUUUUGAACUUAUUUAAACUACAUAUUUUUUGUGUGUUAAAAAUGCACCAUUGAAAGGCACAUCACAAAAUUUCAACAAUUUCUGACUUCAUUUGGUAUUUNNNNNNNNNNCAAAACGGACAAUAUCUCUCGAAGUAUGAGGGUUUCGAACGAGAACUCAUCUCUUACAAAGGGAUUUCAUUUUUUUGAACUUAUUUAAACUCCAUACUUUUUGUGUGUUCAAAAUACACCAUUCAAAGGCACAUCACAAAAUUUCAACAAUUUCUGACUUCAUUUGGUAUUUUUCGUGCAUUUACUUAUUUUUUUGAGCUAGUUGACCCUAAAAUUGAAAAGCACUACAAAUGAACUCUGAAAAUNNNNNNNNNNUAUCAAAAAAUUUCAACAAUUUCUGACUUAAUUUGGUAUUUUUCGUGCAUUUACUUUUGUUUUUUUGGGCUAGUUGACCCUAAAAUUGAAAAGCACUACAAAUGAACUCUGAAAAUGUUGAAAGUUGGCAUGCUAUCAUCAUUUCACCCACAUAGCAUGUCUUAAAAAGUGGAGAGGGUUACGACAAAAACUGGAUGCACUUCGUGUACAAAACAGACAAUCUCUCUCGAAGUAUGAGCGUUUCAAACGAGAACUCAUUUCUUACAAAGGGAUAUCAUUUUUUGAACUUAUUUGAACUCCAUACUUUUUGUGUGUUUAAAAUNNNNNNNNNNNNNNNNNNNNNNNNNNNNNNNNNNNNNNNNNNNNNNNNNNNNNNNNNNNNNNNNNNNNNNNNNNNNNNNNNNNNNNNNNNNNNNNNNNNNGGGGGGUUCAGAGGAUUGGGUGAAUCCCUUCCUUCCACCCAAUCCUCUCAAAUCCCCUCAAUUGUCAAAUCCCUGAGCCAUGAGACAAGGUUUCUGAACCGCAUGGAUAGGAAGAAAUCAAGGGGGAUUCGAGAGGAUUGAAGGGGUUUGCUCAUCACAAACCCUGUCCACCAAAUGGACAUGCGGGGAAACGCGGGGUUUCUGAUUCCCUCGGGGAUAAUCCCCUACAAUCCUCCUCAAACCCUCCGCACCAAACAAGGCCUAAGGGUUAGAUCAAUACAACACAACAAUACACAAUAUUAGUCAUCCUUCCACAAUUUCCACAAUUAGAGGCCCACUUAACGGCCUAUUAAAAUGCAUGAUUUGUGGAAGCAGUUUAUAUAGGCUGGAUUCUGUACAUACGAAAUUAACUGCCCUUUUAAGUGGGCCAACGAACACUUCAGAUUAGAUUAGUCGUAGGGCACAUAAGUGGUCUGAUGGGAGGUUGGGCAUCAGUAGUCUGAUGCCUAGCGCUGCCCAUAAAUACGAAUCAUGUUGAUUGAUCGUGCUGUUUAAGAAGGAUGCUUAUAAGGAAGAUCAUAAGAUACUGCUUCCCUCUGUUCAUUUUUAUAAGACGUUUUAGACAGCCGAAAUUGAACUGUUUUGGGUGUUGCCUUAAAUGUCUAAAAGGUCUUGCAAAAGUGAACGGGGGAAGUAUCAAAUGACAUACAUACAGAACUGCCCUCGAAGUGACUUGAAGAUAGCAGCAGGCUGGACAAAGCAAAGCACAUUGCAUAAGUGUCUUCCUGAAUGUUUUAGAAACCAGAGACAUGAGAGCCAAACCAGAGAGCGCUUUAGUUAUGGUGUAGUACCAGUACCUCCUCUUCUUCUGGAGGUAGAAUUUGGCUACAUCGGAAGCUGAAAUUUGUCCUGCUUCCUUCCUGUGACGCCUCCGAUGAGAACUAGAGGUGCAAUAAGUCGGAACAGUGGCCAGCAGAACUGAAACAGUCUUGAUAAAUCUGCUGGGAUUCAGAUUCGGAAUACGAGUGAGGGUUUAAGUACAGGAAGAAGUAAUAGCAUAUAUACCUGGUGCAGGAUCGGAUGUGUAAAAUGUUGUGUGGCUUACCUCGGCUGUUGGCCAACCACAGCAGGUCACUAAACUCGGGAGUAUUGGCGAUCUCCGCAGCCCUGUUCCUCACGAGUUGCCAGUCGAUGGCGGCCCUGUAUCAGAGGAAGAGAUAUUCAAAACCUGGAGAUUUAUUUAUGCUACCCGUACUGGCAUGCAGAAUCCCUCGGAAUAAUGGAACACGGUACAUGCAUGCAUGAUGUGUCCUAGGAAAAGAAAAGAAAAAAGAACAGUCACCUGAGCUUCUCGUUGCGGUGCAAGGCCGAGAGCAAGCGGGUGCGCCUGACGGUGCCGGGUGUGGCGUUGCUCAUAAACCAUGGUGAUAAUGGCGCCGUGCGGCCUGCUGAUGGAGAUGGAGUGGAUGGUUCUGUGCAGAUUGGGGAAGUUGAAGAGGAGCCUCCCCUCCUCGCCGAGCAUCGCGUCGACCUUGGGCACGAAGCGGACGACGUACUUGACCGCGUCGCCCAACUGGCCCUGCCUCGCGAGGCGCUGCAGGUGCUCCACGCUGAAGAACACGGUCGUCUCGUGGAGCAACCUGAAGAACACGGUCGUCUCGUGGAGCAACCUGAAUACAGUGACAAAGGACGUAUCUUAUGAUAGGACGCGAAGAAGCCAAGGGGAUUUAGGCGUGAUGAUGAUAGUGCUGAUAUGUACGCUUGGAAGGUGGAGUUGAAGCCGUGGCACGAGAGGAAGUACGACACCAAGAUUUGUUAACGAGGUUCAUCAAUAUGGUUAUAUCCCCGGGGCUUGACUACGACGCUCCUUUCCGUGACACCAUCACAAUACCGCACCCCGGCCGUCCGUAUGCCGGCACACACCGUCGGCUCUCCUGCGUGCCUGUGUUAUUAUGUUGACAUAUGUUACAUCGUGUGUCUAACCCGCUAUAUAUGAAAGGCCUAGGGGUACAUGUGUCCUAAUAGGACACGACUCCUACCUUGUCUACACAUCGUACGACUCCAAGUCCAACUGUAACCUACCUUGUACGAUAAUAUUCGACACAACUCUAACAAACUCCACCUUGACGAAUAUUCUCCACCACCUUGGAUUCAUCCAUGCGUCGAACCUUCAUAUACAUUGGACUUUAGAUUAUACCAUGAGCACCGCUGCUACUCCCAGACUCCACAUGACUCCACCUGCAACUAUAGUCCCUUCUCGUCUUCUUCACAAUCAACCCUCGAGCAAAGUUAAUUUCCUUAUUACUCUAUAUACUUUGUGCUUCCAAUUUCUGGAGUAUCCAUUCAAUGUCAUCACACACAUAUCACUGACGUGCGUGAAAGUGAACAACCCACAUAUUGAAUGCCACAUAUAAAGGUUACCUGAGCUCAACAUCCUCACUCUUCUUUGGCCGUCGCUUUGAAACUUGAAGGAAUUUCACCAUCUCCUUGUGUCACCCUGAGUCAAAUUCGCAGUUGUCUCACCCUUUUCCCGGAUAGUCUCUGACAUGUCCCACAGCUAUAGCACCCCGCCUCCUUCUGUACUUGUCAUCCGCACUUUGUCAUGUGCAAUGAACACCACAGAAUAUACGACCAUGUACUCUCUCUGCUUUUGACAAUUUCGUACUUUCCAUCACUUUUUCAGAUUCUCUAUGGUCAACUCAUGUCCAUCAACUUGCACCGAUAGACCCAGUCACCAACUUGAAUCUGGUAUUCAUUAACACUGCUUCAGUACCCGUUUGCGCAAUUUAUCUGACCACAUGUCUGACCACCAGUACCUUGGUCUGUCGCUAUGCUUACCACACGCCUCGCCGCUAUCAUUGCGUCGAGCCUCUACUGUCAUGGCCGAGUCUCCCAAGGUCGCGAACCAACACCACUCAACCCCCACUUCAGAGUACCACCGAUCAUCACCGACCGAUGCUGAGUAUCACGUCUCCAUGAGACCACUGGUACCCAGUCCAAUCCACGUGUCUCUCGUUAACCCAUUGAAAUAGGCUACGAUUCUCCGAAUUCUUAUGUUGUAGCCCCUCAUCAGCACAGAGUGAUGUCUUCCGCUAGACUCCAGCUCCACCUUCCACAUGACCCCAUGUAGCCGGCCGUGCUACCCCAUGCCCUGUCGACUUCAAGAUCUCACGUGUACACAACCUUGAAUCAACCUCGCGUCAUAGUCCGUCGAAGCCGCACAAGCCCUCAUGCCUGCACCACGUGUUUCCACGCCCCAGAAGUUGGCCACCAUCAGCAUCACGCUCCUAUGUCGUCGUCGCUGAAAUCACCGCCGUCUUCUGCUUUGCCCGACAUCCCCGUCGAUCCGUCAGACUGUCCAGUCCGACCCAGCCAAAAAUAUCCGACUGCAACCACGCUCCACCUUGCGUUAUGUCCGCGCUGCACAUCUUCGUGCAUUUCUUUAAUGCCCUAUGUAUGCAUGAUCAUGUCAUGACGCACGUGAGACUCCUCUCAGCCUUAUGCGUCCAUCCUUGUCGCACACACUCCCAGCACUUUCGGCAAACUUGACCCAUAAAAAAACAUCCUUGCAGACUUGACCGCUAUGGAUACUUUCUGCAGAUUUUUCUUUCCCUUGUCUCUUUCUGCCAGUACUUAUGUGGACGAGUAGACUAUUUUUUUCACCAACAAAUCUCAUGCCUUGCAGCUUCCCACGCAUUUGGUCUUCCGUGACUCCUCCAAGCAGCCGCUGACCAUACAUGUGCUCUGUUCAAAACAAAAUAGUAACAACCAAGAAAUAGUCCCCCAUAGCGUGCACGUAUGUGUAGCAAAAAAGAUCAACAAAUAGUUGUCCACAAGCUUCCCAACACGAAGUAGCUAUUCCAGACUACUAUUCUGUUGUUUCCUUUGUUUAUCCAACGUGCACAGCUGGUCUACCGUCAUCUCAAACGGUGCAAUUUUGCAGCAACCCAGCGCAUUGCUGCCUUGGGCCCUCCACGAUGGAAACUCCUGCCAUCCAUCAGCUGCAGCCCACCAAGCCUUGAGCCGCACGCCCCUCAGGAUCGAGCAGAUUGUUGCAGCUCUGCAUGCCACACGCAUCAUCUUCCCCUGCACGUGUAAGGGGCCGCCGUAUCACGCUUUCCAAAUCGAUCAUCCAGCUUUGAGUCGAUUACAAAUCUCGCACAAUUGGUUUCCUUUAUUAUACCAGACUCGACGAGUUCUAUUGAUCAACCACGCAAACUUAAGACUGCUGAUGCCGCCACCUGCUUCCUGAUUCUUUUUCUGAUUCACCCGAUCACAACCAGACAACUUCCAUGGAAUAGCUUCUCUUCGAUCAGCCUCUUCCGCGUGUCGUCUUUACACCGAACGAUUCAACCUUUAGAUCGAUACAACGCAGACUCCGAGCAACCUGGCUCAUGAUACCACUUGUUAGAAUAAUCCAAGGCUUUCCAUCGAUCUACCGAGGACCAAGUAAUCACACGAGCGCGACACCGAGAUUUGUUAACGAGGUUCAUCGAUAUGGCUACAUCCCCGGGGCCUGACUACGGACGCUCCUCCCCGUGACACCGUCACAAUACCGCACCCCGGCCGCCCAGACGCCGGCACACACCAUCGGCUCUCCUGCGUGCCUGUGAUAUUAUGUUGGCAUAGGUUACAUCGUGUGUCCAUCCCGCUAUAUAUGAGAGGCCUAGGAGUACAUGUGUCCUAAUAGGACACGACUCCUACCUUGUCUACACACCGUACGACUCCAAGUCCAACUAUAAUCUACCUUGUACAAUAAUAUUCGACACAACUCUAACAGAGGCGACGCUGACGGAGCUGCGACACGCAUGGGUGCUCCAUGGAACGCCACAUGGAGGAGGGAUUGCGCUUGCUGGAGCCGCACCGGUGGUCGGAGAACUUCAUAGCGGGAAGCACCGUUUUGUGGUGUGGGCCUGAUAAUAGCGCCCACCCACGGUAUAAAUCUUGGGGUAUGUACCCCGUCCUUCCACUCCCCUCUCUCAAGUUCAACGGCUCGGUUCGCAAAAAAAGGGUUAGGCGCCUCGGCAACACCUUACCACAAGAACAAAGAAAAAAGAAAAUAAAAGAAAAAAUGAAAAUGAAAAAACAAAAAGGUAAUUUUUUUGUCUCUGAAGGUUCUAUAACAUGGUAAAUUGUCAAAAACUACCACAAUUACGCCCGACGGUGCCGAAAACCACCGUUUCCAUAAAAGUUUACCAAAAACACCUAUUUUGAGUAUUUAUUUGCUGAAUGCACUAAAAUUGAUGUUUGACCAUAUUUUGACACAAAAACUGACAGCAGGACCCAAUCCGUCAGGACCACAUGGCAUGGGAUAACGACUAGGUAAGACCGUCUAUCAUUGCUGGCAUAUGAGGGCCAUUUGUCAUAGAAAGAAAAAAGAAAAAAGAAAGUUCCCUUUACCUUUCCUCGUGAAGCAACCUUUACGCAAAGAAAGCCAACGCCUCGGCCAGGAACAACAUACAGCGAACUGGAGCUCACCGUUGCCAUGAUCGUCGCUGCCACCGUAAGCACUGGCAGCGGUGUGGUACGUGGACCCUUCUUCCGUGUCCAAACGUAUGCCUCAAUCCUCUUCCCUACUCUUGUCGUCGCUACCGGCCAGUCGACCACCAUGGCCUCCGUGGGCUUGAGCUCGACGAGAUCCUGUUUGCCCCGCCCACGUGCUUCCUAGUCGUGCCCCAUGGUGAGCUGCACGCCACGUGCUCCUCCUUUCGCACAUGCCUAGACCAAUGUCCGUCUGGCGAGCUCUGACGUCGUCUACACCCGCAGAACGAGCAGGAUUCGGCCAUGGUGAAUAGGCAAUUUUUAUGAAUUCUUCACUCAGAAAUUUCCCUAUGAAAAAUUUGCUAAGUAACAAACGACUUGCAGCGGAAGAAAUACUCAGGUGUAAGUAUAACAUGGCACAAGCAUGGUCAUUAUGAUGGAAUGGAACAAACACGUAGUGCGAGUGGCGUGACCGAUAACCCACAAGUAUAGGGGAUCGCAACAGUUUUCGAGGGUAGAGUAUUCAACCCAAAUUUAUUGAUUUGACUCAAGGGGAAACCAAAGAAUAUUCUCAAGUAUUAGCAGUUGAGUUGUCAAUUCAACCACACCUAAAAGAUUUAGUAUCUGCAGCAAAGUAUCAGUAGCAAGUUAGUAUGAUAGCAGCAGUAGCAACAGUAACCAGUAGCAGCAAAGUGACAGUAGUAGCAGCAAAGUAACAGCAGUAGCAACAGAGUAACAGUAGCAACAGUGUCAGUAGUAGCGACAAAGUAACGUAGCAAGGACCAUUAGGAAAAACUCGUAGGCAUUGGAUCGGUGAUGGAUGAUUAUGCCAGAUGCUAUUUAUCAUGCAACAGUUAUAACACGGAGAGAUAUGUAACUAGCUCCAGUUCGUCAAUGUAAUGUAGGCAUGUAUUCUGUAUGUAGUCAUACGUGCUUAGGGAAAAGAACUUGCAUGACAUCUAUUGUCCAUCCCUCCCGUGGCAGUGGGGUCCUAAUGGAAACUAUGGGAUAUUAAGGUUCCCCUUUUAAUAAAGAAACGGACCAACGCAAUAACACUUGGUGAAUACAUNNNNNNNNNNCAUAGCGAGUCACAACCAUUCAUAAGUAGCCAUACAUGAGUUUUAUCCAUUACAUUAAAUCUCCAAAGACUAAAAAUGACGAUAAUAAAAAUUUAACUACGAUACAUUACUCCCCCUUUGNNNNNNNNNNNNNNNNNNNNNNNNNNNNNNNNNNNNNNNNNNNNNNNNNNNNNNNNNNNNNNNNNNNNNNNNNNNNNNNNNNNNNNNNNNNNNNNNNNNNNNNNNNNAAAAAGGGAGGUGUCAACAGCACCAAUCAAACUCAAAGCUCAUCACCAUCAUCAUCAGCAUUAUCAGCCAAGCCACUGCCCCCAGCCUCGUCAAAGAACUCAGACCACUCAGGACCAGACGGGAAGCCAAAAUCAGUAGGAGGAGCAGCAGGAGGGGCCUCAUCAUCACUCACAUCAAGAGCGCCCAAGGCUCUCAGACGAGCCUUUAGGGCAUACUUGGAGGAAACUAGGCGGGAAACUUGGGCUACAACCGUUUCAGACUCAUAACCAUGAAAAGGAUCAGAUUCGACCAGAGUGAUUAACUCAGGGUUGACAGAGAAUNNNNNNNNNNNNNNNNNNNNNNNNNNNNNNNNNNNNNNNNNNNNNNNNNNNNNNNNNNNNNNNNNNNNNNNNNNNNNNNNNNNNNNNNNNNNNNNNNNNNCUCUUGAAGAGAUUUCAUCAUAGCAUCUACGAUAUGCGCGGUAAAGGCUUUACUUUGGCUAUAAGCAUGUGGAGAGUUUGCAAUGGAUUGCAUCAAAGAAAUGCAUUCAAACAAGGAGCAAUUAUCAUAAUUGAAUUCCUUGAAAUCCAAAGUGGGAGUUUCAUUACUACCCAAAAUUUUGACUUCUUCUACUCCACUCUCCACGCCUUUAUCAUCAAGAUAGGUGGACUCCGAAUCAUUGGGGCGUUUUUCAACCAAAGUGGAUUCAUAUCCAGCCCCUCCAUAAGUAGGUUUGACACGCAAAAACAAAGAUUCAAGAGGAGACACACCAAGCAGUUUAAGAUCUUCGUUAUUUGGAUCACAAAUUUCAGGUUUAGCUGCCAUCUUAUUGACUAAGGUAGCCUGCUUGUCAGAAAUUUGGCCCACCAAUUCUUCAAGAUGAGCAAGCUGGGAAUUAAGUGCAAGGACAUCAUUGGCCAUAUCAUCAAUAUCUUUAUUCAAAUAGACCAAAAAGGAAUUUUGCUCUUUUAAUUCCCUACGGAAGUAACUAUUUUGGUCAAACUAUGAAGACAUGAAACCUUUGACAUUAGUUUCAAUCUCCUCCAAUUUUCUGAAAUAGUUUGGUUUGGCCAUGAGGGAGGGUAUCUCACGAACAAACCUAAGAGCAGGCGGGCAAAAAGGAAAGGCAAAAAGAAAAAGAGAACGGCAAAGGAGAAAGGCAAAUGAAAACAGCAAAUGUGAAGUGGGGGAGAGGAAAAUGAGAGGCAACUCGCAACAAAAGUAAAUGUAAGAGAAGAGUUUGUGAGACCUACUUGGAUAGAUCUUGAUUUCUCCUCCCCGGCAACGGCGUGAGAAAUGCUUCUGAUGUCAACUGUACUAAUGCACAAAAGUCCUUCCAAUGGCGCCAGAAACAGGUGUGUCGACGACACCAGGAAUCCUUCAGUUGCGGCUACGCCUUAAGGGACUUCCUAGGCAAGUAUUCAAAGGAUUCCCCCGUGGCCUUGGAGCCUUGCAUUGGUGUUCCCUUGAAGCGGAAAGGGUGAUGUAGCACAGUGACGGUAAGUAUUUCCCUCAGUUUGUGAACCAAGGUAUCAAUCCGGUGGAGGAGUAUCACAAGAUCCUGCACAAACACAAAAGCUUGCUCCCAACACCAUGAAGGGGUUGUCAAUCCCUUAUAGAUUGUUUGCCAAGUGAGAACUGAAAGCAACAAAGUAACAAAGCAAAGUAAAAGCGGAGGUGUAAACGAUGGAUGUGAAUAGACCCGGGGGCCGUAGUGUUUAGUAGUGGCUUCUCUCAUGAAAGCAAGUAGACGGUGGGUGAACAAAUUACUGUCGAGCAAUUGAUUGAACCGCGCAAAGUCGUGACGAUAUCUAUGCAAUGAUUAUACCUAUAGGAAUCACGUCCAAAACAAGUAGACCGAUACUUUUUGCAUCUACUACUAUUACUCCACACGUAGACCGCUAUCCAGCAUGCAUCUAGUGUAUUAAGUCCAUAAGAACAGAGNNNNNNNNNNCUCGAGCAAUUGAUAGAAUCGCGCAAAAUCGUGACGAUAUCUAUGCAAUGAUUAUAUCUAUAGGCAUCACGUCCAAAACAAGUAGACCAAUACUUACUGCAUCUACUACUAUUACUCCACACGUCAACCGCUAUCCAGCAUGCAUCUAGUGUAUUAAGUCCAUAAGAACAGAGUAACGCCUUAAGCAAGAUGACAUGAUGUAGAGGGAUAAUCUCAAACCAAUGAUAAAACCCCCAUCUUUUUACCCUUGAUGGCAACUACUUGAUGUGUGCCUNNNNNNNNNNAAAACCAUUGAUAAAAACCCCAUAUUUUUACCCUUGAUGGAAACUACUUGAUGUGUGGCUUGCUGCCCCUACUGUCACUGGGAAAGGUUACCACAUGGUAGAACCCAAAACCAAGCACUUCUCCCAUUGCAAGAAUCAUAGUUAUAGUUGGCCAAACAAAACCUAAUACUCGGAGAGACUUACAAGGAUAUCAAAUCAUGCAUAUAAGAAAUCAGCAAAGACUCAAAUAUGUAUCAUAGAUAAUCUAAUCACAAAUCCACAAUUCAUCGGAUCUCGACAAACACACUGCCAAAGAAGAUUACAUGGGAUAGAUCUCCAUGAAGAUCAUGGAGAACAUUGUAUUGAAGAUCCAAGAGAGAGAAGAAGCCAUCUAGCUACUAACUANNNNNNNNNNNNNNNNNNNNNNNNNNNNNNNNNNNNNNNNNNNNNNNNNNNNNNNNNNNNNNNNNNNNNNNNNNNNNNNNNNNNNNNNNNNNNNNNNNNNGGAACCUACUAUCAAAAUCAAAAUCAAAAACUAUGAAUGCAAUGCUUUGUGUGAUUUGGGUGCUAGUGUUUCCGCAAUUCCAAAGUCUUUAUGUGAUGUUCUAGGCUUUAAUGAGAUUGAGGAGUGUUCUCUUAAUUUGCAUCUUGCGGAUUCUACUGUCAAGAAACCCAUGGGAAGGAUCAAUGAUGUUCUUAUUAUUGCAAAUAGGAACUAUGUACCCGUGGAUUUCAUUGUGCUAGAUAUUGAUUGCUGUCGUGGUAACGAUUCCGACAAUAGAAAGAGGGUAGGAUAACGGAGCAGUGGAGAUGCACAUGGGUGACACGGUGGUUUUUGCGAGUUCAGGCCUCUCACAGUGGAGAUAACAACCCUACGUCUCGUGCUCCGGAGAGGCUUUGUUUUAUCUGUCAUGGACAUGAGUUACACGGUGUAGAGAGAGAGCCAGAGCUCGAGGGAAAUAAUGAGCCUGAAGGAGGAGAAUAAGAAGAUGUCCUUAGCUAUGUGGAGGGGGGUGGCUUAUAUAGAGUGCGCCACCUCCUCACCUCUUAUCUUACAAGAUGGGGCAUUGAUGCCAUAAUGUCAGCCCACUACAGAUGUCCUGCCGACUGUUGGUAUUUGCAUGACCGAGUGAGUCAUACGGCCGAGUGGUUGACUGUCAUCCGAGUGGAUGGAAUGUACUUGUCUGAGUGGAUCCGUACCGAGUGGAUUAGAUGUUGUCACGAUCCAGUAGGAAUUUCCCUUAUAGUCCUUAAACUAAUAAUGAGGUGCCCUUGGGUAGGACGUAUUGGUCAGACCUAUGACCCUACCCUAGGGCUAUAUCCCCGUCAUUAGCCCCCGAAUGGAUCAGGGUCCGAGUGGUGAAGGUGUCGAUGUAAAUCUUGUAGCAGCAGACCGAACUUGAACGUGCUUCAGGGUCUUGCAAAAUUAUGCGUUGAUUGAAGUCUUCAUCAUUCGCCCUGAUCGAUUCCGCUGAGUAGUACGUCCGAGUGAACUUAAGAAUUGAAGUAGAUCCGAGUGACCAACAGGAUCUUGAGACUCUAACUGACUGCUGGUAGUCGGUUGGAAUCUGUUGAAUCUGUUGAACUUGGAUGUUGUUCGUGGACCUGACCAAGCAGAAUGUUUCUUUUUUUGUUUUUCUCUUCUAGUGGGGGCACGCUAAGUGCACCCACUGGGUGUAGUCCCCGAGCCUCUGUCGGACUAGAUGAGUCCGGCAGAGGGUUUAAGUCAUCCAAUGCUCGUCAUGUUGAAUGUUUGUUGUAUCUGCAUUAUAUGAUUUCUAGAUCAAAGUCAAGUCUCUAAGAGUUGUUUUUAACUUAGGCGAUACGGAGUCGCAGCUAAGUUUCCGAGUGUGGAGCGUGUCCGUACUCGGAGUUGUUUUAACUUAGGCGAUACGGAGUCGCAGCUAAGUUCCCGAGUGUGGAGCGCGUCCAUACUCGGAGUAAUUUUAACUUAGGCGAUACAGAGUCGUAGCUAAGCCCCCGAGUGUGGAGCGUGUCCGUACCCGUAGUAGUUUUAACUUAGGCGAUACGGAGUCGCAGCUAAGCUGAGCGGUGGCGCGCGGGGCAGCCGAAUCAUGAAGACGUGCCACACAGAGUGGCGAUGUGCAUGGCAUCUGACUGAGGUAGACGAUUCUGGCUGAGUGGCAACGCGCGGGGCGGCCAAGUGAUGUAUGUCGAGGAGGCGUCCGACCCACUGACGGCACGCAGGGCGGCCGUGUCCACUACGUCAUUGCGGGGGCUUCCGAACACGUGAAAACACAUGAAUGAUUGUUGCGGCGACUGAGCCUGAGCAGCGACGAGAAUGGCGCACGGAUGCGUCGAGUAACCUGUGUAUGAAAAAUAGCACAAGCCAGCAUAAAAAAAUAUCAAAGUAAUAUGAUCUUUUCUAAAAUAGUUCGUGUAAAUUGCACCCAGACACCCACUAGGUGUGCCACGUGAUUGCUGGUUCGGAACCAGCAAGAGUCUAAAAGAGUGAAGGAUCCGGCUGAACUCGUUUGAGUACUGGACCCAAACGAAGCGGAAGUGAAGUGUUCCCACAUAAAAAUAAACAACUGAGUGCAAAGGUACACUAAGUGGCGUGGCCUCCGAGUGAACGUCAUGUGCGACUUCCUCGACACUCGGUACUGUAGAAAUGAUUAUUUAAUAGAAUGGAGUCUGUGAAAAAAUGACUUAGCUGCCUCACGACGCGCGGGGCGGUCGAGCGAAGUAGACACGUCCGGCUGAGUGGCGUCGUGUUGGGCGGUCAAGCGAUGAAGACGCGUCUAGCUGAGUGGCGACACGCGGGGCGGCCGAGUGACGACGCGCAGAGCAACCAGGUGACGAAGGAGCCUCCAGCCGAGUGACAGCGCGCGGGGCGGUCGAGUGACAAAGGCGCGUCUCGCCGAGUGGCGGCGCGCUGGGCGGCCGACUGAUGAAGGCGCGUACAACCGAGUGACGAAGAUGUGUCUCGCCGAGUGGCGGCGCGCGGGAGGACCGACUGAUUAUGAUGCGUCCGACUGAGCGACGGCACGCAGGGCGGCCGAGUCACUGCAUGUUGGUCAUCUGUAUGCAAAAUUCAUCUGGAAUAAUUUAUGUGUGUCAUCGUGUUAGUAGCUCGAAUGAAUGGUCCGUCCGUAUAAACUGUUGUUCGGAGACGAUGACGGACGAGUGACCCUGCAAGUUAGUAGCAAGCGUAGCUACAAAUAUUUUUGGGUGAACUAAUUGUCCUGUAUAGUUGCUAAUUUGCAAUGAAUAAAAACCACAUUUGGUGUUGCCCGCAUGCAUGCAAAAUUUACUGGUGUGGGGAAUACUUACGAGGAGCUUAACGAGGCAAUUACCUCAGCCGAAACGGUUAGUCCACGUUUAAUGCAUGGAAUUGAUCCUCCACCCAAUUAACCCGACGUUAAAGGCCUGGCCACCACUACCUUCCGUUUCAUGUUCUUGAAUACAUGCGGUUUAAUAGAUCGUGGACCACCACGCCCUAUCGUUUCCUUGAUGCAUGCAGUUAAUUGAUCCACGGACUGGCCAGGUUAUGCAUGCACUUACGAGGCAGGCCGGUCAGCGCUGGCGCGUCGUCGACCAGGUCCUGGAGAUUCCCCUCCAAGGCGAAGCAGUGGCGCAACGCGGUUCUAUCAAUUGCUCGACAUUGAUUUGUUCACCCACCGUAAUAUUUGCUAUUUUGAGAGAAGCCUCUAGUGAACACUAUGGCCUCCGGGUCUACUCCACACCAUAUUUUCAGCCUUACUCUUUUACUUCGUUGCACUUUGUGCCUUCAGAUCUCACUUUGCAAUCAAUCUUGAAGGGAUUGACAACCCCUUUAUAGCGUUGGGUGCAAGCUCUUUUGUGUUUGCGCAGGUACUCUGGACUUGACGAGAUUCUCCUACUGGAUUGAUACCAUGGUUCUCAAACUAAGAGAAAUACUUACUGCUCAUGUGCUACACCACCCUUUCCUCUUCAAGGAAAAACCAACGCAAGCCCAGCCUCCGUCAACGUGUCAAUCCCUGGCGCUGUUGUCUGUUGUCGUAGCACCUACCAACCCUUCCCCUAGGAGUAUGCGUUUAGCACUUUGUUUUGAUUACUAAUAAAAACUUUCGCAACAAGUAUGUGAAUUCUUCAUGACUAAUGUGAGUCCAUGGUAUAGAUGCACUUUCACUUUCCACCGUUGCUAGCCUCUCUAGUACCGUGCAAUUUUCGCCGGUGCACAAACCCACCAUAUGCCUUCCUCAAAACAGCCACCAUACCUAUCUACUAUGGCAUUUUCAUAGCCAUUCCGAGAUAUAUUGCCAUGCAACUCCCACCGUUCCGUCUCAUGACUUGUGCAUUCACUCUCAUAUUGCCAUUGCAUGAUCGUAAGAUAGCUAGCGAGAUGUUUCAACGUCAUACGCCAAGCUAGAUCGUUGCACAUCCCGGUACACUACCGGAGGCAUUUCCUAUAGAGUCAUCAUCGUUCUAAGCUUUGAGCUGUGAGUAAAUAAAUGUGUGAUGAUCAUCAUUAUUAGAGCAUUGUCCCAUGUGAGAAAAAAAAGAGGCCAAAGUUGCCCACAAAAAAAAAA
rnacentral:lncRNA from 1 species